rnacentral:lncRNA from 1 species
GGGGCUGUGUUAACAGUCACUUCCUGCUUUAAAGGUCAGUGCUGCAAAUAGCGGGUGGGACCUGAGUUAGGGAUGUGAUGGAGGGAUUAUUACUAUUAAAAGUUCAACUGAGGGCGAAAAGCCUACUUAAAACACACUGGUUGCAGUCUAGUGGCUGAAAAAAAGAAUAUACAUCUGUUGAAUUUUAUGCUGAGUUUGUCUGUGGCGCUUUCACCUCUGUGGUUUGGUGACUUUUUGUGUUGAUAUGUACGCCGGCUAAAGGUACAUUUUCAUUUCCUGAGCGAUUUGACCCGAACUGUGGUUUAAAAAAAACAUCAUUUCUGAGCUAAAGGCUUGAUCUUGUAUGCUGUUGCUGCUGCUGCUUAAUGAAGGCGUUCUCCACAUGAAAUGAGCAGAGGAAGGAAAGGCUACCAGCCCAGAAGGGAGGAGCACAAGGCCUGGGGUGGAGGAGCCCGCUCCACUUGCUGGCUUGUGCGACUCCCCAAAUGAAGGAGUAACAGGAUUAAGGACCAUGUCACUGUGAUAGGAGAGCAGAGAGUGGCAAGACCCUGACUAAAGCCUGAGCCAAAGUCUCCUGAUAAUAAAAUAAAGUAUGAAUUAAACAUAUACAGUAUUUUAUAUAUUUAAAAAAAAAAUGUUCCACCCCCAGAGGCAGGCAGUCACAUAAUCCCCUUCUGCUCUAUUAAGACUCAGUCCUCGGCUCUUGUGUGUUGAUAGAGACAUCAAAGCCGAGCAGUGCAGCGUCAAAUGAGACAGGCAGCAGUCGCAGGGGCCUGGCUGUAAUUGGCUGAGCUGAAAAGGAGGGAGAGACUGCUAGAUUAAUAAUGAAUGUGCUGUGCUGUGCAGAAGAGAGAAAGAGAGAGAGAGAGAGAGACCAGAGAGAGAUGCCUCAGCUCUCCACAGGCAGGCUAGACUGAAGAGGGACGGCUUCAGUGGAGCUCUGAGAGACUGUAUCUUUGCUUUUGAUUGUCCUGUUCAUCACAGACACAAACACCUUCAGAACCAUCUGAAAUAUUAAAAUAUCAAAACACAGCUUCGUUUGUACAUGUUCAGCAUCUGCUCUUCGAUGGGAUGGUUGAUUUUUCCAACAUCUCUCGAGGUGAGACGAAGCAAAGAUUUGGUGAAAUACUCGUACUUUGAAUGGUGAAUUUUCAUGACAUAUUGUGAUUUGUUGAUGUGCUUGUCUACCUGAUGUCAGAGUGACAGAAACAUGAGAAGAAAAAUCUUAAAAUAUUCAUGUUUGAUGUUAAAGUUUGUGACAAAAUUUCAUCUUUCAUUGGAAAUGUUGGUUGAUCAGCCCCUCUGAAACAAAGGUUUGUAUUUCUGAGAUUUGGGCACCGAAAAUUAUGAGUGUAAUUCACUUCCUUACCCAAGAGUGAAAUCUGGUCUCCUCUAAUCUCUCUUUUCUUCAACACUUUACUUCACUUUGGUCACUAUUUACCUGAUGUCCAUACUGAGACUAUCAAGCUAACAGUUACUAUAGGGGAAUGUUUUAAAGAGAUGGCGUUGUGCUUAUUUUUGGGUUAUUUUUGCCUUUAUACUGUCCCCCUGAUAGUUUCUUAGCAGCUUUACAUAAUUUACAGUUCAACAAAUGAAAAUCCCUCAUUUCCAGCCCUUCAGCAUUCUGGAAGCCUCCCUCACUGUUGCCGUGCAGCAAGAUUGUAUUGUGUUUUUAUAAAAUGAUAAAUUUGCCCUUUUAAGGAGAUUCACUGGAUGCUGAUGUCACGAUUUGAGCGAAAUCUCAUGGUGGUCUCGCUGAAUUCUCGUGCGAGUUCAUCCAGAGCCCCCCAGUACUCCCAUCUGGGGAUGACUUCAACGCACAUCGACCUUGCAGUCUGAAACUUUGCUUAUGCAUAGAACUGAUUGAUGUCCAACAGUUUAAUUUAACACUUGUUUUUAAAAUAUGGAAAAAAGUAUGACACCAUUGCUUUAAGUGAACACGUUUCUCCAAGUGUCUCCAUCCCCAAACAAAAUGCAAAGUGCUUGACAACAAUAGAGUAAUACAAGACACUAUAUAUGUUCAUAAUGAAGAGAAAGGACCCACAAUUUUCAAAGUUGUGUGUUUUUAUUCCAGACUAUUAAUUUUUGAUGUUUUGGUUUAACUAUGAACUUCAAAGUGUACAUAAGAAAUGGAUGUAUCCUCUUGGAGUAAAAAGUGAAACAACUAACCCGGGAUUUCCACCGCAUCAGGAACGGAGGUGGUUUUCGCCGUACGCCAGUUCCUACCGGAUCCGUUUGUGAGACAAAUUUUGUGGCGGAUUAUGGACAGCAGGAAUCGCGAGAACUCACGAGAACCAGCAGAUUCACAUGCAAUUGCACGUUGUCUUUAGCCACAUAGGCUAACCAUAUAAGCAGUAAAUUGUGUCCUUCCAGAGGAGGAAAUCUACUUCUAGACUUUGAGCAGCUAGCAUAAAGUUGUAGGAAAGCGAAUCUCGACAUCACCUAAAUAUGGAUAUUCCUACUCCUUCAAAUCAAGAUGGGGAUACCCAAAAAUUGAAACCUGAGGUUAAAAAUAGCGCUGAAAGUGAUGGCUGAUAUCUUGGUGAUGGUCCACUUCUUUGGCCUUCACUGAAUUUAUUCUGAAAAAUAAAAAUUACAGCCAAGAAGCUCUUACAAAAGAAAUGGCCAUUAUCAUUCUCCAUACACAAUCUCACACAUCGAUAACUUUUUUGGACAAUCUGGCCUUCCGUACAACCCAUAUCAUUAAUCUUCAAGAAGAAAAAAAAGGCCCGCACCAAAAUAUAGCGAUUUAAGAAGAGUGUUAUGAUCAAAUGAGGGGGUGGGGGAGUUAUGGUGGGAGGGGGUCAGUCUGGCCUACAAAGAGAAGAUAAGCCCAAGCUGGUAACCCCAUUUCCCUUCCAUCUGUUGGUAGCAGUUGUAGAGCAUGGCUCCACUCACCAGGACCUGGCAACCCAUCCCCCAAGCCCUGUUUCUCUGGCUGACUGCACAGCUGUGUUGCGUUUGGAUUAGGCCAAGAAUAAAACAGGAAGUAGAAAUUAAACAAAAGCUUAAACACAUACAGAGAGCGAGAGAGAGAGAGAGAGAGAGAGAGAGAGAGAGAGAGAGGUUACCAAAGACUCAACGGCAGCAGUGCAAGUGACAGCCCAUGGAAAAAGUGUACACCCACACGUGUAGACCCUUGCUCUUAAACACACACAGAUAUACUACAGUAUGAACAAAGUCAUACUCUGCCUGCCUCCCACAGACUCACAUAAGCCCAGGCAGGACCACAGGCGUAUCAUUUCCCUGUGCCCACACUCAUACUCACACAUAUGGUCUUUUUACAUGCUAAGUGCCGCUCUGCCUCUCCUCCCAUCUUCAUGGUGGUCUGCUGCAGCCACUGAUGAGGAAAACUGGCAAACAUGCUCAAUCAGUCUCAGAGUUAUUGCCAGUGUUAUGAUGCUAGGACGGUAGUGUUCCAGUCAUCAGAUGACAAACAAAGUAGUCAGAAAUUAAGCUGCUCUGGUAUAAGUUAGUUCACUGGAACCGAAAUAUGGAAACCCAGGAUGUACGAACUCUUCGUUUCUCCGCAACUCGAAGCUAUAAAAACAUAAUCAGACAAUAAAGGAUGAUAAUAAAAGAAUUACAGCUUUCAUCAGCAUUUUUUAUAAAUGAUAUUUCUAAAGUACUGACGCUUUCUGGGGUUUCAUUUGUUUUUCUUUAGUGUAACUUCCCUAACGCUCAUCUGGGAUCAAACAAAAGAAAAAGUAAUAAUGAAAUUUGCCUUUGAGGAACCAUCAAAACAGCAGAAACCAGAGUUAAAGCCUAACAAGAAAAACCUUUGCAAGCCUGUGGUCCUUUUCUUUUUCUGCGCUCCUUCACAUUCAAUUUUAAUUUCAUCUAAUAACUACCAUCACUAUUAUGUUAAGUUUUGUGCAUCCGUACACCUGGUGACAAAGCUAGGUUCUGUAAACGUUCAAAGAAUAAACAUUUGCGAACCUCUCCUUUCUGUUUAGCUUCGCCCACACUUCCAGAUAUGGGAACUGCUUGAUCCAAAAACAACAAGUUGAUAUCAAAUUUUUGAAACUGAAGUCUUUAAAUUAGCAAACCACUGUGCCUGUGUUAUUUUGGGUAGUUUGUAGAUUGCAUCAAACAGAAACUUAGAACGUGAUAUCGAGAGGUUAAAGCUGCUGUGAGGAACUCACAGUUUGUUUUGAUUUUACAAAGAUAUACACCACAUAGGUUUUUUUUUUACCAUAUACUUGACAAGCUAAAGUAAUAUUUUCUGCCCAAAGAAAGAACCUUGAGCC